rnacentral:misc_RNA from 1 species
GCAGAAGGAUCGUUAGUGAAGAUUUGGGCAGGCCAUACGGACGCCAAAAAGUGUCCCUGGCCGCCUACACCCACUAUACAUCCACAAACCCGUGUGCACUGUCUUGGAGAAAGGCUUCAGAGAAGUUUUUUGUGGCCUCUCUUGGGGUCUUUCUUCGCUACAAACUCGAAUGGUUAGUAUGAACGUGGAACUUGGUUGGACCGUCACUGGCCAACAAACUAUACACAACUUUCGACAACGGAUCUCUUGGUUCUCCCA